GCGGUGAGCGGACUGUCCAUCUACCUUCCUAACUUGAACUGCAGCCCAUCUUCAACCGUUCAUUUAAGACCCUAGUGUAUAAACUAGGAGAAGGCGGGAAACACAGGAUAGGGAGAGAAAGAGAGGGAGAGAAAGAGAAAGAGGAAGGAGAGGGAGAGAGAGAUGCUGGCAGGCAGGGCGAGCCUCGUUACGCUCAUCGGAAAGCGGAGGAGGAUCUCCGCCACCGAUCAAAAGGAUUCAUUAAACUCCAGAAAAGGGGACAUUGUGAGUCCAUCGGACAGUUUGAGUCCAUCUGCACCACAGGGGAAAGAGCAAUCCUUGGAUCUUGCAAUGUAUCUAUCAAAAAGCCACAAUGCUUCUGAUAAUGGUGCUUCUCAAUAUCUUUUGGAUUGGGUUUCAUGUCCUGUUUGUGGGAGAAACAUAUGUGGAACAGAUUUUUUGGUUAAUUCUCAUCUAGAAACUCGCAUGGUAAUAUUGUUUGCAGAUCUAUGUCUAGCCAAUGGAACCAAACGGAAAAUGACCCAGCGAACAUUGCUUCAGUUCAAUUUUUAUUCGAGUUCAAAAUCAAAUAUACAUGUGGAUGACACUAGUUCUUCCAAAAAUCUCGUUGUACCAUUGGCAUUGGAUGAAAAAGUCCAGUCAAGUAACUUCACUAAGUGUGCCAAGGACCUUGACGACCAAGAUGGAAGAUCUGGAAUGGAAUCCAAUGCAAGCUUUUUGUUGUCCAAUUCAAAAACUUGUCUUGAAUAUUCAGUUCAGAGCCUUAUAGAGACGCAAUCUGUUCACUGUAAUGAGACAGGCUCUUUGAGUCCCUUGUCAUCCCUCCCCUGCCCUGAACAACAAUUUCCCCUUCUGGAGGGCACUGAUGUUGGGACUUCCAUGGCUACACUUGAUACUUACAUUGUUGGACGAAGGUUUUGUGAUGAUGUUGACUUGAAGGAAGGAACCUGUGUAUCUUUUGUGAGGGACCCUGAAAAUGUUAAGGAUCAUAAUGCCAUCAAGGUGCUUUGUAGCAAAUCUGGAAGCGACCAUGUGCUUGGGUUUCUCCCCAGAGACUUGGCUCUAUAUCUAUCUCCUCUCAUGAAAAACCAUCAUGUGAUGAUUGAGGGAUUGGUUACAUCUCUUCCUGAUCAUUCACUUGGCGCUGUUCCUGUAAGAAUCUUUUGUCAAAAGAUUCUAGUCGCUACAGAAAGAGAGUCUGAUGAGCAUCAAAUGUUCCAAUGCUUGUGGGAGAAUGUUGCUCGUGUUGUUGAAUCAUCAAAAGACUUCCCCCCAAACACUAAAAAGUAUCAGCAAAACUUCUGCAUUUUGAUUAAGGAAGUUUUGAAGCAUCACUCUUACCUUUUCACUGAUGAUGAGAAGCUGUUUCUAGGAUCCUUCGAGUCACUUUCUGAUGAUAGUCAGAGGCUUUUCAUUAGACUUUAUAGACGAAAAGGGCCAUGGUUUCGGAUAUCAAAUGUCUACUACCCAGAGAUUUCAGAUCAUCAACUAGCGCUUAAAGGACUGCUUGCGGCUGGUUAUAUGAAUCGUUUGGAGUAUUCAAAUGAACCUUUAGAGAACAUUGUAAAGGAGAUGUUGGACAUGCUUACUGUUUCAGAGUGCAGAGAACUAUCCAGUCAGGCAUGUUUGAAGAGAAAUGUCCGGGUGGUUAGGCGUGAAGAACUUGUCAAAGGGCUUCUUUCUGCCUAUGCUGAUGGAACGUGCUCGCUGCUUCCUACCAUGGUUGCCGAACGGAUUGGAGCCUGCGUUCGAAUUUCUGCCUUGGCUGAGUUCCUCCUUUGGCGUGUCCAGAGGCUAUUCUUCCUAAAUGGAAAGCAAGAUUUGUCUGCCUUUCUCUUAGUAGAUCUUGGACUAGUGAGAUAUCCCACAUAUACCUGCAGUAUAUCCAGCAAUCUUUUCACAAGUCGAAGUGAUUUAUUAGCAUAUGAAGAGGCUAUGGACUUAGCACAAAUAAUGGACCAAUCCCUUGAUGAGAACAACGUGGAAAUUGUGAUGAGGUGCAUAGAGGUAUCAGAGGGCCGCAUUUCCAAUCUCCCCAAAGAAAGGAUUUCUCAAUCUUUUACUCAGAAAUCUGGUGGGAUGUUCUUGUCACAAUUUACGGCUUCAUGGGUCUACUCAAAAGUUCUCACCUUAGGUGUCUCUGUUUUUGAGCGUGACCGCAGGUAUACAAAUGCAAUAAUGCUUCUUAGGAAGCUGCUAAAUUUGAUCGCACAGGAUGGAAGGCGAGGGUAUUGGACCCUUAGAUUGUCUAUUGAUUUGGAGCACCUAGGUCAUCUGAACGAGAGUCUCUUGGUUGCAGAGGGAGGCCUAACUGAUCCAUGGGUUCGUGCUGGGUCUAGAAUGGCCCUUCAAAGACGAGUUUUACGCCUGGGAAAACCACCAAGGCGGUGGAAAACUCCUAGUUUUGCAAAGUCUAUCAAAAGGAAGAUCAAAGAGGUUUACAUAAUGGGGAGGCCUUUGAACUGUGAAAUAGGGUCGAAAAAUAGGUUUUAUGGUGAUGAUGAUGAGCAGUGUGGAGUAGAGGAGUUAGCUUUGCAAUAUUAUAAAGCAGAAGGUUGGGAAGGUGCGCACUCGGAGAGUGGUGUUUGGAUGACAAUAUUUGGGCUUCUAAUGUGGGAUGUCAUCUUUGCUGAUAUUCCUGAUGUCUUUCGGACCAGGUUUCAGACAGCCCCAUUAGACCUUUGCACCGAUAGUUUUUAUCCUGCAAGAAUGGCGCUUAUAGAAAGCCAUCUAAGAAAGGUAAAACAUGGCAUGGCGAAGGACAUCCUUACAACUACAUGGGAAUCUAAUGUUGGCACCUCGUGCCAAGGUGUGAAUUGGGAGAGACAUACCGUAACAGAUCUCCAGGAUAUUGUAACAUGUGUUGGAGGUCCAUGCUUGGCCUCUAUUUGUCGGCUGUUGGCUCAAGAUUACAAGAGUUGGUCAAGUGGAAUGCCUGAUCUCUUGCUUUGGCGUCUUUCUAGUGAUGGAAAGAGUGAUGAUGCAAAGCUUGUCGAAGUCAAAGGACCAAAAGAUCGCCUCUCUGAGCAGCAGCAAGCAUGGCUGCUCAUGCUUAUGGAUUGUGGUUUUGACUCAGAGGUCUGCAAAGUCAGGCCAACACCCUUCCAGGAUUAAACAUUGAGAUAGUCUAGUUAGAUGGGUUCAGGUCUUCUGUUGUAUUGGUAAGGCUGGGUUGGGGAAGGCCAUUUUAUGAUAUAAAAGUGCAAUGUGUGGAAGGUUGCUAUGGCGGUCAACAGGGAGGUGAAAGUGUUUGCCAACACCAAAUAUAAUGGAGCAGCUCUGUAAAAUCUGGUUCUAUUUCACCUAAGUACUAUGGAGAUGGAAAGAGGCCAAAAUCCCAUUAUUAUCUUACGGAUGUACUUCUCAUAAUGGAGUGCAGUGCUUGACAGCUGCUGGCAAACAAUGCGUUAACUUAAUAGUAGUUACUAAAAGCAGAGGAUGCAGCCGGUGCAACUUAAUGUUUCACUUCUUCCUGGUUACUGUCGAGGAAUUCGGGCCCUGGCUAGAUGGUUACAGAGUCCAUAAGUACAACAAGACGUCCCUGUUUCAUUUUCCUAUGCUGAUUAUCCAAAGAGAAUCUGUCUCUCUCUUGGUUUUCUGUUUAAUAAGGAAUAGAUAUAACGCAAAUGCUAAAAUAGCGACCAAGGGCCUGUGCUUUCAUAAUUGAAGUGGAAAAGUGUUUUUUUAGGGGUUUGACUGGUCAAAAUCCUCGAAGAGUUGGUAGACAUACACCGGAGAAAAUAAUAUUUUGAGAUGAGUUUUUCCACAAGGCCUAAUUGAUUUGGGAUCUAGUCAGGUCAGAGUUGGUUAUCUAGUCUGCUUCUGAUGCCAUUGCUAAUGAUAGCCGCUAGAACCGAAAGUUAACGUUUCAAAUGUUUGUCUUUCAUAAUGAGAGGCCUAGAAGAUUCUGAACAGUGCCUAAUUGCACUAUUCAUGCAAGGUGUGGGAUUUGAUUUUGAUUUUGAUUUGAGAUUGUACACGUUGACAUUGUUCCAUUAUGCACAAAAGUUACAAACACUUCAAAUAAAUUGGAUGGCGAGCUGUGAUAUUGCAUGAUGUAGAAGAAAAUUUCUCUGACUUGAGCAUGGUUACUGGUACAUCUCCAAUAAUCUGAUUUCACUUC